rnacentral:misc_RNA from 1 species
GAUGAAUAACGCAGCGAAAUGCGAUACGUAGUGUGAAUUGCAGAAUUCAGUGAAUCAUCGAAUCUUUGAACGCACAUUGCACCUCUCGGUAUUCCGGGAGGUAUGCCUGUUCGAGCGUCAUUUGUACCCUCAAGCUCUGCUUGGUGUUGGGUGUUUGUUCCGCCUCUGUGUGUGAACUCGCCUCAAAACAAUUGGCAGCCGGCGUACUUGUUUCGGAGCGCAGCACAUUUUGCGAUCCAGAUCAACGUACAGCGGCAUCCAAGAAGCCUUAUUUAACGCUCUUGACCUCGGAUCAGGUAGGGAUACCCGCUGAACUUAAGCAUAUCAAUAAGCGGAGGA